rnacentral:tRNA from 1 species
GGGGUGAUAUAAAAUGGCCUUCUAAUUCAUUAAAAAGUGUAAACUUUCACCCCA